rnacentral:rRNA from 1 species
AACCUGCCUUGGAGUGGGGAAGUAACAGUUGGAACAGCUGCUAAUACCGCAUAAUAUGUCUGUGUCGCAUGGCACUGGGCAUCAAAGAUUUAUCGCUCUGAGAUGGACUCGCGUCUGAUUAGCUAGUUGGCGGGGUAACGGCCCACCAAGGCGACGAUCAGUAGCCGGACUGAGAGGUUGGCCGGCCCACAUUGGGACUGAGACACGGCCCAGACUCCUACGGGAGGCAGCAG